GUUCGGGGGAGAGCGAGCGAGCGAGGCUCGUUACCUUUUCUCUCUUUCCCCGUCGCUCCUCCACCAUGCUCCGGACGCCGCUGCCUGCGGAGGAGACGCCGCGGGUCAGCGCAGCGCCCCUCUCCUGAGGAGAUGAGGGAGGCGCGGCCGGGCCGGAGCUAGCGCGACCCGCGCCUUGCCCCGUCCUGUCCCUCCCGCCGCCCCGACCACCAUGAGGGACGAGAGGGAAGCCGCCGCCGCCGCCUCCCGCCCCGGCCCCGGCCGAGCCCCGCAGCACUGCCAGCAGCCGGACGGCGGCGCGGAGAGCCUGCGGAACGGCUACGUGAGGAGCUGCGCGACCCCCCUGCGGCAGGACCCCCCGAGAAGCUUCCUUUCGCUGCUGCUGCUCCCCGCCGCCGCCUCCUCCUCCUCCUCCUCCUGCUGCCGGGCUCUGCUCAGCCUGGCCGCCCUGGCCGCCCUCGUGCUCUCGCUGCUGGCGCUCCCGGGCCGGGGCAGCGCCGGGGGCCAGCAGGACGGGAGCAGCUGGCGGAGUCCCCGGCCUCUGCACGCCUUGCUGAGCCUCUCCCGCUGCCUCAGCCCGCUCUUCAGCAUCGCCUGCGCCUUCUUCUUCCUCACCUGCCACCUAGCCCGUGGCGGAGCGACCCGCUGGUGGCUGCUGGCGCUUCCCGUGUGCUGCUACUCGGGGGACUUCGUGGCGCUGCAGUGGCUGCUGCCCCCCGCGGGGCGCCAAGAGGAGCCCCGAGCCCCCAGCGAGCCGCAGAUGGUGGCCGGCAGGCUGCUGACGGUGCUGGGCUCGGUGGCGGCGCUGACCCUGCUGCAGAGCUCCCUGAAGCUCCGCCGGAGCCUCCUCGUCUUGCUCUUCUCCAGCCUGGUGUGGCUGGUGUCGCUCGGCAGCCUCCACUCGCUGCCCCCGGCCCUCCGCCCGCUGCUGGCCGGCUCUGUCGGGGCGGCGGGCUGCCUCCUAGCCCUCUGCGGCGGCGAGCGCGGCGUCCUGGCGGCCCGGAGCCGGGCAGCGCAUCAGCAGCAUCACCACCACCCGCGGCUCCCCAGCGCGGAGGAAAAAGUGCCUGUGAUCAGACCCAGGAGGAGAUCGAGCUGCGUGUCCUUAGGGGAGACUUCGGCCAGCUACUACGGCAGCAGCAAAAUGUUUCGGAGACCCUCGCUGCCUUGCAUUUCCAGAGAGCAGAUGAUACUUUGGGAUUGGGAUUUGAAGCAAUGGUACAAGCCCUAUUACCAGAAUGUUGGCAGUGGAAAUGGAGUUGAUCUUUCAGUACUAAAUGAGGCUCGGAGCAUGCUAACAGACCUCCUGACUGACCCAUCCCUUCCAGCGCAAGUGAUUUCUUCCCUUCGAAGCAUUAAUAGUUUGAUUGGUGCAUUCUCAGCCACAUGCAGGCCAAAGGCCAAUCCGUUCACACCAUUUCCUGGUUUCUUCCCAUGUCCUGAAGUAGAAGAUUCUGCUGAAAAAGGAGACCGAAAGCUGUUCAAGGGAUUAAAUAGCAGGAAUAGCCUACCAACACCACAGCUGAGACGAGCUUCAGGAGUUUCUGGCAUUCCACCUAUAGAAUCGCAACCUUCUAGAUGGGAACGGAGUAACAGUAAGAGAUCUCAUCAGGAAUAUAACACAUCAAGCCAAGGAACCCAUUCAAAUGGGUCGUUUGGUGCAACCCUGCUGACAAUACCAAAACAAAGGUCAUCUUCAAUAACAUUGGGUCAUCAUAUAAGUUCCAGACGAACAAGUGCUUCUCCUGGCCUGAGUCCUGUGGGUUCACCUAGUCAUGGAUCUGUCUCCAGUGGGACCCUCAGCAGCUGGUCACCUGUAGAAUUUCCUGAUACUGCUGAUUUUCUUACAAAACCAAGCAUUAAUAUUUAUAAGCCUCCAGCAUACACAUUUAGUUCAUCAGAUUUUCAGCAGCAAGUUAAAACACCUAUAGGUCAUGUGUGUAGCAGCUGUGGAUGUCACAUACUCAAGGCUGUUCCAACACCAGAACAAGAAUUUGCAGAAUAUAAAGACAAAAAAUCAGGUGAAGCUGGAAGCACUAGUGUUCCAAAAGAAUCUUUCUACCAUACAGAGAAGACAAAAGAUGUAAAGAAGGAAAUAAUUAUUGAAACACAAAAUAGUCCACUUGUGGAGCAGAAUCCUACAUUAGAAACAAUGUUAAUAGAACAUGACUCACUAAUGGAGAAAAUGAACAAUUGGAACUUCCAAAUUUUUGACCUUGUACAAGAAAUGGGAGACCAAUCUGGAAGGAUUCUUAGCCAGGUAACUUAUACUUUGUUUCAAGACACUGGUUUGUUUGAGAUUUUCAAAAUCCCAGUUCAAGAAUUCAUGAAUUACUUCUGUGCGCUCGAAAAUGGCUACAGAGAUAUUCCCUAUCACAAUCGUAUACACGCCACGGAUGUUCUUCAUGCAGUAUGGUAUCUGACAACACGGCCCAUUCCUGGAUUUCAGCAAAUUCAUAACGAGCAUAUAAUGGAGAGUGAUAUGGACGAAGCUAGUGGUGUUGGCCCUGUUCAAGUCAACUAUAUUUCUUCAAAAACCUGUUCUGUUGCUGAUGAUAGUUAUGGGUGCCUGGCAUCAAACAUUCCUGCCUUGGAAUUGAUGGCUUUAUAUGUAGCAGCUGCCAUGCAUGAUUAUGAUCAUCCUGGUCGUACAAAUGCUUUUCUAGUAGCUACAAAUGCUCCACAGGCUGUUCUCUACAAUGACAGAUCAGUCUUAGAAAAUCACCAUGCUGCUUCUGCCUGGAAUCUUUUCCUAUCACGACCAGAAUACAACUUCUUAUCAAAUCUUGAUCAUGUAGAAUUUAAGCGUUUUCGUUUCUUAGUGAUUGAAGCAAUCCUUGCCACAGAUCUCAAGAAGCAUUUUGAUUUCCUUGCAGAAUUUAAUGCCAAGGUCAACGAUAUCAACAGUCAUGGUAUAGAAUGGAGCAAUGAAAAUGAUCGCUUGCUUGUCUGUCAAAUAUGCAUCAAACUGGCAGAUAUUAAUGGCCCAGCAAAAGUUAGAGAGCUGCAUCUGAAAUGGACAGAAGGCAUUGUUAAUGAAUUUUAUGAACAGGGUGAUGAGGAAGCAAGUCUUGGAUUACCUAUAAGUCCCUUCAUGGAUCGCUCUUCUCCACAGCUUGCAAAACUGCAAGAAUCUUUCAUCACUCACAUAGUUGGCCCCCUUUGUAAUUCCUAUAAUGCAGCUGGGUUGCUUCCAGGGCAAUGGGUUGAUGAAGAGGAGGAUGCAGAAAGUAAUGAAGAUGAUGAUGGAGCACAGUCGGAGAGUGAUGAUGAGGAAAUAGAAGACGAUCUUAUUUUAAAAGCUCAAAGAAGAAAAGGUAGACGACGAAUAUUUUGCCAGCUAAUACACCAUCUAAGUGAAAAUCACAAAAUAUGGAAGAAAGUGAUUGAAGAAGAAGAAAAAAAUAAAGCUGAAGGAGCUAAACUGCUGACUGAGAACUCAUCUUUACCUCAAGCAGAUGAAAUUCAGGUUAUUGAGGAAGCUGAUGAAGAAGAUGAACGACAGCUAGGAGAAGAAAAGACAUGCUGAGAAAACUUCAGUCAUGUCCAUUACGAGGAUAGAAAGCUGAUAUAUAUCUAUAUCUAUUUUCACUGUGUUGACUUUAGCCUAACACAGUUCACUUAAAAUUGAAAGGCCUUAAUACUGUGAGAGGAUUCUUUCUACUCCAGUGGAAUCCCUAUGCACUUUUGCCACACAGAAUACGAAACUUUAUUCAAAGAUUGAGUAUUGUAUACCCUGAUGCAAAGUUCUUUAUGCCUUAGUUGGUAUAAAAUAUUCUGAUAUAACGCUGCCUUGCUGAAAAAGGAACUCCUAUUUUCCUUGAGACAUAGCUUAUAUUGCCUCCAAGUGUGAUGUACAUCCUGAAAUAUACAUAUGGAAAGCAGAAUGUGAAAACUUCAUGUAAGGCCUAAUAGUAAGAUAAAUAUCACUGUACUAUAUUACACUUUAGAUAAUUUAGGUUUUAAAUAAGCUUAGACAAUCCAAACAGAUAUAUUUUUAGAAACACUACCAUUGGAGAUCUGAUUGCGAAAAUAAAAAUAAAUAAAUUAGGCUGCAAGUGCAUAAUCACCUUAUGCAAGCCACAAAUAAAGCUAGCUUUAAAAGUGCAUCUUUUAAUACUAAACACAUACAUGCUGUGCUGUUGAAUGGAAUUUAAAAAAAGGCACACAUGUUCAAGUUGCUAAAUGUAUUCUAGCAUAUUUUUGUUCACAUUUUUAUUAGUUCACUUGAAAAAGAGGUAGCAUUCCUAAGAUAACCUUGUGUAAAUUCUAUUGCACUAUUUUACACAAUUGAAUUUCUCUUUUGCUCUUGGGUCAGUUUAAAUAACUGAGAAAGAUAUAUAUUUUUUUCGAUUUUCCACUAAUUAGCUUUUUGUGGAUCGACUUAUAAGACCACUGAAUUGUGCUUUUGCUAUUUUAUAUAAUCAGUGCCAAAUUCCACUUUGCUGCCAUUAUUACUAUCACUGCAUUUUUUUGUAACAUGAGCAGUGUUAAAAACAGAUAUUUCUGUCAUUAAUGAAAUAUUGCACUAUUGAAUGCGAAUGUAGAGUUUAGUGAUACGAUUUAGUGGAGGACUUGUUAGUGUUAGGUCAGAGGUUGGACUAGAUGGUCUUGGAGGUCUCUUCCAACCUGGAUGAUUCUGUGAUUCUGUGAAGCUGACACUUAUCACUCCCUCGUAUUUUACAUUUGGUGCUCAUAUAUUUCCUAACAAAUCAUGAAGACUACAGAAAUUAUGCUUGUUUCAAUAUGCUAUGUUCUCAGUGUUUUGUGGUUAGUUUGUGUUUUCAUGUUAAAAAAAAAAAAGGGGGGGCACAUUAAUACUAUUUAGUUUCAUUCUUGCUUUUACUGACAAAAGAAUGCAGAUGUGCUUGUUUAAAGUUAUAGUUACGGUAUUUUACAUGGCAGUUUUCUAUUUAGUUUCCUUUUAAAAGGAGCAUUAUUAAAAAGUAUUAUAAAGAGAGAAUAAGAAGGUAGAAAUAACAUUAUCUUUUACUAAAGCAUUGACAGUAAUUAUAUCUGGUGACAACAUUGCCAGCAACUUUAUCUCAGGUUUCCAUUAUAUUCUUUAGAAAUACGGAAGAAAUUUUU